UCUAAAUAUUUUAGAAGAUUUGUGUAUAUUCCUCGAAUAAAUUUCCAGCAGGAGAAACAUGAACCUGGUUCUACUCUUAAUGUUUAGUCCCAGGAGCUAAUAUUGAUAUGUCAAGGGGUAGACUAUGUUGCCCCCCCCCAGGGGUUAAUAUUGAUAUGUCAAGGGGUAGACUAUGUUGCCCACCCCCCAGGGGUAAAUAUUGAUAUGUCAAGGGGUAGACUAUGUUGCCCCCCCCAGGGGUAAAUAUUGAUAUGUCAAGGGGUAGAUUAUGUUGCCCCCCCUCCCACACCCAGGAUUAUGCAGAUGUGACAUUUUAAAAGAUGACUUUUGUGCCAUACUAAAUCAUUUUUUGCAGAAUUAUCAAGCAUUGUAAUUAAUUUAAUUGUGUUGAUAUUUGCAUACAAUCCCUUCAUUUACAUUAUUUUAUAAAUAUAAUAUUAUCAAAAUAAGGAGUCACGGAAGUUCGUACCCAAAAUAUGUUUAUACAAAAACCUGUGAUUGCUAUGUUUGCUCAAUUCUAUUUAUCUUAUGUGAUCCCGAUAAAACUAUGAAAUAUAACGACGACUUUAAAUUGAAUCAAUAACAUCAGAUUGUCUCAAUGUUGCUUUCCUGUUCCACAGUUUUAUGGGGAUCACUGUAUGCACUGAAAACUUUUAUUUAGGUUUUGUAGAGUUUCAGUGGUAUAGAUAGUGUUAUAAUCUCUGAAAAACUUGUAAUCCAAAUCUUUAUUUUUUUAUACUUUAAA